CACGUAGGGUGCGAGCGUUGUCCGGAAUUAUCGGGCGUAAAGAGCUCGUAGGCGGUGUGUCGCGUCGGCCGUGAAAACCUGCAGCUUAACUGUGGGCUUGCGGUCGAUACGGGCAUCACUGGAGUUCGGCAGGGGAGACUGGAAUUCCUGGUGUAGCGGUGAAAUGCGCAGAUAUCAGGAAGAACACCCGUGGCUAAGGCGGUUCUCUAGUACGGUACUGACGCUGAGACGCGAAAGCGUGGGGAGCGAACAGG
rnacentral:rRNA from 1 species